CUUCACCGAACCCAGCCACAGGGGCCGUUCCCGGUUCUGCCCGUACGUCGCCUCCAGCGCCUGCGCCUC
rnacentral:antisense_RNA from 1 species